ACGCAAUUUCACCAUGUUACCCAGGCUGGUCUGGCACUCCUUGGCUCAAGCAAUAGCAGUCUGCCUGCUGCAGCUCUCCAAGUGCUGGGAUUACAGUACCCUCAGGUGACUACAGAUGUGUUAACACCCAGCAUGUUCCGGUAGGAGACUUUCUGGAUGGGGAAGAUUUCCAGGUGUGAAUCAUGGCAAUACAGUGAAAGACAGUGAUUUACUGCUUUUGAGGGCGUGCAUGUAUAUGAUUAACGGAUGGAAGUGCAGGACUCCAAGAUUUACUUCCUUCCCUUUCCAGCAGAAUUACCUGAGACGAGUAAAAUCUACUGGUGGAGUCACUCCAUUAUUCUUAUCUGUGGAGAUCUAGAUCUUGAUUUGAAAGUUUCUGAGAAAAUCUUCAGCUCAGACUUGAGGGUCAACUUUACCAGCUGAAGGAUCUGCAUUUACUGCUCAACCACAUCUAAUUUGAUGUCCUCUGCAGAUUUAAAAUGUGUGCCUUCUUUUCCGUCACCAAGUCAUCCCUGGGUUACUACUGAACAUCCUUCUCAAUUCCCCCCGACCCAUGGAUGGCUGUUCUCCAUUGUCUGUUUCACCAGAUGUCCUCAAAACAAACAGACAGAAGAAGGAAGUGGCUAAUGGAGCUGUGGAGUCCAAGUGUGACUGCCAAGAGGAAUCCAGCAAAGCCAAAAAGCCCAAGCAUGUAGCCCUGCCCGAAGCACGCCACACGCAUGGAAAACCCAGAGGAAAUGAGUGAGGAUCAAUGGGAAGAAGAGAGCCAGCCAGGAAGUUGAAGAUUUGUCCAGGAGCAGAUAGCUGAAGAGAGAGAGAGAGAAGAGAGAACGGCUUACAGCUCAGGCUCACAGGCAGAAGGAAUUUUCCUUGUCUUGGAUGAGACUUUUGACUUGGACUUUUGGGUUAAGUUCUGGAGACCAGAAGGCCAAAAUCAAAAGUAUGGGCAGGCUUGAUUUCUUUAGAAGACUCCAGCGGAGAACUGUGUCUCCUUGCUUCUGAUUCUACAUCUCCAUCCAUGGGCCACUGUUUCAGCAACCUCAGCCAGUGCAACACAACCUCAGCCAAGAAGAGUAUGCAGAGAAAGGAGUCCCCUACCUGCCACAAAACUGUUGUCUGAAAACUGUCUCAUAUUGUCUCAAGUUGUCAUUCAUUGUGAAUUAGACCUGUUUAACAUGUAAUCUGCAACAUGCUUCACUGUCUAAUUUUCCAGAGCCCCUCAUAUAAGGAACUGUAUUAUUGGUAUAAUCAUCAUGGUGAAGAAGUUGGUAUGUGGGGGAGAGAUGACAGAAACAGAGAGUAAGUCAGAGCUGGCUGCCUGACAGAUAAAAAGGAAAUGACCAAAAAAAAAAAAAAAGACACAGAAGAAUACUUUGUUGUCCACACAGAAAAGGGAAGUGUAGGUAAGACAGCAGUAGACUAAGAUUCUUAAGACUCAAGUUCUAGUCUUAUUUAUUAGCUAUGGGAGGCCUUGAGGGAGUUCUAGAAUUAAGUGAUCUCUCUUUAUAAAAUAGGAACAGUAAUAACUUCCUGGCUAACUCCCUGGCUGUCUCACAAUGCUGUAGUAGUAAGAAAUAAUUUUAUAAUUAAAGACUAUUUUAGGGCUGAUUACAUUUUUGGGCAGUGGCUCAUACAUGUAAUUUCAACAUUUUGGGAGGCCAAGGUGGGCGGAUUGCUUGAGCCCAGGAAUUCAAGACCAGGCUGGGCAACACAGACCUUGUCACUACAAAAGAAAAAAACAUUAGCUAGGCGUGGUGAUGUAUGCCUGUGGUCCCAGCUACUCAGGAAGCUGAGACAGGAGGAUCACCUGAGCCUGGGAGGUCGAGGCUACAGUGAGCCAUGAUCACACUACUGCACUCCAGCCUGGGAAACAGAGUGAGACUCUGUCUCAAAAAAAAAAAAAAAGGAAUAUUUUACACUUCAAGGUUCUAUACAAAUGUAAAAUAUCAUUCUAUUACUUAUUUAUAAUGCUGAUUAUUCUUUAAAUGACUUUAAAAUGUUAAUCUCUGCUUGAGCCUACGGAGAAGUAUGUAACAAAUUUGUGAAGGAUUGGCAUUAAACAUAGUCAAAAUAAAACAUAGAAAUUAUGGUAAAUAAUUUAACUGGUAAAAUAAUCUAAGUGGUAGUUCUCAGGUAAGUGGAAAUUCGAUUAGCUGAUUGUUUAGGAUUCUUGGUUAUAAGUGACAGAGACCUGACUAAAAGUACAUGAAGCACAUAACUGAGAAGGUUGUGGUAUGGCUCAGCAGAAAUGGGAAAAUCUUGGGACUGGUUCGUGUUUUAUUUACAUUAUCUUUGUUCCCAGGCAGUCUCUGCAUGUAAGUGGCAAAGAUGACUGUCUGAAAAUAUAUACCUACUUUUUUAAAGGGCUAUCUCAAGCCAUUCUGGAGAAGCACCAAAAGCCACUUUGCUUAUACUGGGAGAAUAGUUUGCUUUCCCUAAUUUGUGAUGAGUGAAACACUGAACAGAGACAUAGAAUAAUAUUCUGUAGUUCAGGGUUGGUGUAAUAUGGCCAGUGGGCGGAAUCUGGUCCUCAGACUGAUUUUGCAAAUAAUCUUAUAGAAACACAGCAACACCCAUUCAUUACAUGUUGUUUAUGGUUGCUUUGGGGUUACAAUGGCAGAGUUGAGUAGUUGUGACAGAGAUCACUAGGCUCACCACAUCUGAGAUAUGUACUGACUGACCCUGUACAGAAAGUUUGCUGCUCUUAGAGGAAUGUGUGUUUCUAGUGUCAGCAAUAAACUUCUUGGAUUUGUUUUGUUUUCUCAUCUUUACAUGAUAGUUGCAGACUAGUUGAUCCUUGUGACCUGUUUUUGAAUGCCACUGUGUAUUCUGUCAGGGCCCUCUGAUUCUGUUUCUUAUGGUGCUGAAUGCACAAUUUAAUGCCCUGGAAUUUCCUUCUGUCUUCUGCUAAACUCAUGCCUCUUCAGAUAGUUAAAAUCCUGUUCUACCUUAGAAGUCUCCAGAGUUAUUUUCCUAAAUUAAGAAGAACUGGCUUUGAAGUUACUCAUUAUGCCACACACAAUGGUUGAAAAGAGCAUCUCUUAUGUACUGUGUAUAUUUCAGCAUCCACUCAGCUUCUUAGGUAGAAAAGGAAGAGUCUUCCACAGUGUAUUUUAUCCAUAUUUGGGUCAGAAACUCUUCUUUACCACGGAGCGUGAUGGAAGAAAGAUAUGGGAUGGUAACAGUAGGCCAGGGAUGUAAUAAUCACAAAAUUUGAGAUAUUUUGUGACUGGUGACUCACGCCUGUGAUCCCAGCAUUUUGGGAGGCCAAAGCGGGCGGAUCACCUGAGGUCAGGAGUUCAAGACCAGCUUGGCCAAUGUAGUGAAACCUCAUCUCUACUAAAAAAAUAUAAAAAUUAGCUGGGUGUGGUGGUGCACACCUGUAAUCCUAGCUACUCAGGAGGCUGAGGCAGGAGAAUAGCUUGAACCAAGGAGGUGGAGGUUGCAGUGAGCUGAGAUUGUGCCACCACUGCAUUCCAGUCUGGGUGACAGAGCGAGACUCUGUCUCAAAAAAAAAAAAAAAAAAAAUCUAGAAAAAGAUCUCCAAGAUUCAAUCAUCUAAUUAUUUCUUUUAAAAAUGAGAAAAAUGACUCCUGGUCAGCUUUUACCUUCUUUUUCCAACUGUCUUGACAAUACUUUCAUAUUGGGCUUUUAAAGUCUCAAGUAAUAGGUUUUUAAAACCUCAGCUGAUAAAAGUAUAAAAAUAAAGUUAAAACAUAUUAAAGACAAAACCCAAGAAUCAGCUUCCUCUUCCUUCAUUACUCUUGCAUGGGUGUUGGCUCUAAUUUCUCCAUCUAGUUAGGCAGUCCUUUGCUUUUUAUUGCUUGUUUAUUGAUGACAUUUGCCAUUUGUAGCAAUAGUAAUAGAAUCAUCUAUAUAUUUGUGGCCUUGUUGAAUGUAGAAAAAGGAUAGUGGCAUUUUCUAAUUGUGUAACCCUAUAACACCUUGACGGGGGACUACAGUUCAUAUGCUGGACCUUUUGUGUUUGUUCAUGGCGGGUGGGUUGCUUUAAUAUACUUAGCACAUUGUCCUAAUUGCCAUCCUUUUGGGGAGGGCUAUAUAUCCAAGCUAAUAUGGUAGCAUUUUUGUUUUAACAUAGAGCUGACCCAAGGUAGACGUAAGUGUUGUUCAUUUUUGCCUAAUACUAAUAAAAUUACCUAAUUGUUGAAGCUUGGAGCUUGAAUCUAGGCAUUUUAUUUCAUUUCAAGUACACCCUAGUAUUUUAAAGCAUAAAUAUCCUACUAUCCUCAACAACUUUAGAACAAAAAUAAAUAUUUUAACAAGAAAAAAGCAUGCCAUGACAAGCUGUAACUUAGUAAAGAAAGACAAGGAAUGGUCUCUAUAGACCGAGAAAAAAUAGGUCCUCAGAUAUAUUUAUACCAAAGGAAUGUUAUGAAUGUAAAAAACAGUUUGACUCCCCCCCCCCCGCCAAAAAAAAACUCCACAACCCUAUAUUUUGUUAUCACAAGACUGUUUUAGUGAAUAAAACAGUAUGAAUUGGUUUUACCUGUUUCCAUUUAAUACUUAUUAACUUUAUAAUCGUAUAGCCUGAGGGUUUUAACUUCAAGUACAGCAUGAUGACUAUAAUAGUUUUACACAAGGCAAAUGUGAAAAACAGAAGUAAUUUCUUUUAAAAAGUGUGAAAUAUCUAAAAGGUAUGACUUCAAUACAUCAACUCAGGUGAGACAGACAUGUAACUUCUUUUUCCAUGUUUAAACCUAAUAUUGCUUUUGUGCCUCUGAAGGCUCGGAGUUUCCAUGCCUUCUUAGGACAUGCCACCCUCUCCACACCUGGAUGUGUUCACCAACCCAGAAGCUCUUGGAACCCCAUCAUUUGGGGUUUUUAUGGAGUCCCCAUUAAGUAGGUAUGACUGAUUAAAUCACUGGCCAUUGGUGGUUGACUCAAUCUCCAGCCUCUCUUCCCUCUCUGAAGGUGAAGGGGUGGGAAGGUGAGGCUAAGUUCCAACCCUCGGAUCACAGGGUUGGUUCCUCUGCAACCAGGCUUCAUCGUGAAACAAUACAGGGCCCACCGAGAGUCACCCCAUUAGCAAACUCAGAUGUGAUUGAAAGGGGCUUAUUAUGAAUAUCAAAAGACAUUUCUCUUUCUCCUAUUACUCAGACAGUUACAAGGGUUUCAGAAGCUCUUGCACCAGGAACUGGGAACAAAGACCAAAUAUAUAUGUCUUCUUCUAUUACAAUGUCACAGGUGUGACAGAGUAGGUAAAUGGAGUCUCAGAGAGUCCCCAGAGUAUUCCAUGGAGCCACAAAAUGAAGAAUAAAUGGAUGGUUCUCCCCAUGAUCAAAAGUGGCCUGAAAAUACUUGAGAAUGAGUCAUAACUUAAAAGGCUGUAUAGUAGAAAAGAAUGCACAGAGGACCGAAUGUAAAAGAAGGCACCCCAGUCUCAGCUAGUGUGGAUGCAUGCCAGUGUAGAAAGAUGCUAGUGUGGCUACAUUGGUGCACUGAAGACCAAACUCCUGCAUGGCCCCACAUCCUUGAUACCUUAGAUCUAUAUCAUCCCCUAAAACUUAGGUGUUAUGACAUUCAGGAUAUGCUACCCCAUCAUUUUUUAGGCUGAAGGAAUUUGAGAAAACAGAAGCAGGAAUGUAAUUGCCCAGUGGGUUCUUCCUGCCCUGUGCACAGACAAAACCAGUUCACUGAGACCAUGGUAUUGCAGUUAAGAAAGAGUUUAACAGGAGGCUGGCCACAUGGAAGAAUUACAGUUAUUACAAAUUAGUCUCCCUGAAGGCUCAGAGGUCAGGGUUUUUCAUGGAUAGUUCGGUGAGCAGUGGAUUAGGGGUAAGUGCUGCUGAUUGGUUGGGGAUACAAUCAUAGGGGUGUGGAAAAUGGUCCUUGUGUGCUGAGUCACCUCUGGGUGGGAGGCCAUGGGACCCAUUGAGUCAUGAGUCACGAGGCUGGGUUGGGUCAGUGUGAAAAACAUCUCAAAAGACCAAUCUUAGGUUCAAAAUAGGUGAUAUUACCUGUAGGAGCAAUUGGGAAAGUUAUAAAUUAUAUGACCUCUUGGCCCCAUGACUUCUGAGCAGUAAGAGAUGAUAGAAACUAAACCUACAUUUUAUCAGCACUCAGGCCUCUUCCAUAAUCCUAAUCUUGUGGCCUUUCGUUAGUCUUAUAAAGGUGGUUUGGUAACUGCCCUCAAGCAAGGAGGGGAUCAGUUUUAGGGAGGUGCUAUUAUCAUCCUUGCUUCAAAGUUAAGCUGUAAACUAAAUUCCUCCCAUAAUUAGCUUGGCCUACACCCAGAAAUGAGCAAAGACAGCCAGCCUGUGAUGUUAGAAGCAAGAUGGAGUUAGUCAUGUUAGAUUUCUCUCACUGUCAUAAUCUUUGCAAGGGAGGUUCCAGGAAGGUCAUCCUACCUUUCCCCUCACCCUUCUCAUGUGACACAGGUCAUAAAGCCUAGGAAGGAUUUUCCGACCUUUCCCUGAAGCAGGUCGUAAGACCCUCAUUGGGGAGGUGCCAUUUCUAGACCAAGAGAAAAGGCACAUCCUUAUGUCUGAAGACACAGGGACACAGAGAAGAAUCUGAACAAACAGGUCUUGCUAAGUUCCCCCCAGUUUGUUUUCAUUAGAUCAUGCCCCUUUAUUCAAUGCUGUUUCUCCACAACUAUCCAUUUCUUCAUCAAGCCUAGCAUAAAAAAUACAGGUUUCACGGUUUCUUUGGGUCUUCAUUUCCUUAUAAAGUCUCCUGUACCAUGUAAAACUUAAAUAAGUUUCUCUGCUUUUCUCUUGUUGAUUCUGUCCUUUGUUUUAUAACCCUCAGACAUGAACCUAGUGAUGAGUGAGGGGAAGAUAAUUUAUUUUCCUCUACAGAUGCAAAAGGGAAAAGGGAACAAUCCCUAAACGGAAGUUAUGAUCCAGGGAUCAGAGGCUCAAAAGCAAGAUUAGGUUUAAAUGUAGAAAAAUACAUUCCUCUUUCAUUUUAGAUAUCCCAAAUGCCCAAAUCAACCCAGCUAUUUCUCAGAAGUCUGUUUCCCCUCCACCCUCUGCUCCUCUGUGUAGUGAAACUGUCUCGUUUGGGAGUAAAAUGGCCUGGCUUUCCUUACUGAGUAUACUCUCAAGACUAUUGCCUAUUACUUUUUUCCAUUCCUUCUUGAGAACUACGCUUUUUAAAACAAGAAUUGACUCCAUUUAUCUUUUUCUUUUAGCCUUCUGCUGGGGUAUGCCUUCUCUAAAGCAAUGAAUAAAAAAUGCUUUAGCUGAAUAAAUGGGGCAAGGAUCAAGGAGUACAAGCUAAUAUUUCACAAUAUUAUCCUGCCAUAAAUAAAAGUAUGGUUUAAAUGACAAUGGUGGGGUUAGGAGUUACAGGUCACUGAAACACCACCUUAUUCAUGCUACCAGCCCCUUGGCUUUCCUGAUGGCAGCAGGGAAGCAACACAUAGGUAGAAUUAUGAGCCAACAUCGUGACUGGAGAGGGAUUGAAAAUCUUAUUUGUUGUCUUCCUAGACUAUUACAGUUAUCUGUUGAAAUUAGACUCAAUUCUUUGGCGAAAGUACUCAUUUUUAAGGUCCAUAAUAAAUUGUAACUAUGUAGCCUUUGUUGCAUGAGUUUAGUAUGAGCUGAUUGGUGGGCCACAGUGAAAGGCAGAGGGAAAUGGAUGUUAACUAAGAGGUAGAAGUCCCCUUGAAGUUCUGACCCUGUCACUAAUGAAGUCUUUAUUUCCGUAUUUAGUAAUUGCCUUUUUUUUUUUUUUUUGAGACAGAGUCUUGCUCUGUCGCCAGGAUGGGGUACAGUGGCACAGUAUCUGCUCACUGCAACCUCCGCCUCCCAGGUUCAAGCAGUUCCCCUGCCUCAGCUUCCUGAAUAGCUGGGACUACAGGUGUCUGCCGCCAUGCCUGGCUAAUUUUUGUAUUUUUAGUAGAGACGGGGUUUCACUAUGUUGGCCAGGAUGGUCUCGAUCUCCUGACCUCGUGAUCUGCCCACCUCAGCCUCCCAAAGCUAGGAUUACAGACGUGAGCCACCAUGCCCGGCCAACUGCCUUCUUUAUAUCUCAUUUUAAAAAUUUAUAACAAAGAAGUGGGUUGAUUUUCAAGACCUAGUUGUGUUAGUUUGAAUGAGAUGCAUACAUUUGGCAAGUCUGGGGUCUAAGAAAAGAUAAAGAUCUGAAUGCUGAAAAUCUAGAGAAUUCAGGUUACUGGGGGAUAACUUAAAGUCACUAGGGAAUUCGGGUUACUGGGGGGAUAACUUAAGGUCACUAGGGAAUUCGGGUUACUGGGGGGAUAACUUAAGGUCACUAGAACCCAAAUGCAGGGAAGAGUUGGGUGCUCUUUGGCAAAUAAACAUUCCUGACUUAGCAUUUUUCUUAAACCCGAACGUGCCAGCUGUUUUUUUGUUUUUUUGUUUUUUUGUUUUGUGACCUCAGCCAGGCUUGCGUGUUUAUUCAUCACAUAUUCUAAGCUCAUAUACAACUGUGACCUGAUCCAGCCUUCAAGGAACUCACUCUUGAUUUUAGGAAUCUUUCCACCACUUCGAUUUCAUCUUACUCCUGAAACAGUCAGCCAGAACUGUCUAAUUCAGUCUAUACUUCUGAUACAAAACUCUACCCAGCAACCACUAUGGUUUUGUUGCUUUAGGUACGUGUUAGAAAGCACCCACAUCAAUUUACAGAAAAUCCUUAACUGAAUCUCUAGUCCCAGAGGAGUCAUAUUUUAUUAUAUGGUGCUUUUUAUUUAAAGAGAUCGGUUUAAUAGAAAUUACUCAGGCAUUUGAAGUGAUAGCUUUAAAAUGUGGGACUGGGGAAAAUAAGAACACUUGACCUCUCUCCAUAAAAUUGAAUUGUUCUUUAGGUUUAAAGUUUUGACAGACAAAGAGAAAGUGAGAGCAAGUGAGGGUGAAAAUAUAUCCUUAUUUGGUAAUGAGUACCCAUUAAGAGGACAGUAUAUUACAUUUCAUCUUCUUACUUCACAUUCCUGUUUUAAGGAUUUGUGAGCAAAGUGCUGUGAGACCUCUAGAGUUAAGAGGCUGGAGAUAGGUAGUUUUGAUGGUAUUUUAAGGAGUGCUCCAUAAUGUGUAGUGUCUGAGUGCUGAAGCUUAAUCAGCUUCAAUUAAAUCCAAAACAUACUGAAUAGCUCCUAUGUGUCUGGCAUUGAGCUGUGUGCCAAAGUGGUGGAAAGAUGUAAGAGCCACUGAGGCUUAGAGAUGAAAAGGAUCUUGGAGCCACUGGUUUCCUGCCUGCUGGAGUUUCACCAUCAAGGACCCUUUCGUUAUUUUCCUUCUCCCAUGCAUUUUAUUAAAAUUUUUGGUUUAGUAAACCAAAUUCACUAAUGGGAUGUUAUUUUCAUAUCAAAGAGUAUAAUUCUGCCAAUCAAGGCUUCUGAUCAGCAUAAAAUAAUUAGGUUUCAUACUGAAUGCACAAAUUCUAGUCAAAAGCAAAGCCAUUUGAUGACAUGUCUGCUAUGUUGCCAUUUGCUUUAAGAGAGGUAAAGGUAGCCUGACUUCUGUUCACUCUGUAGUACAGAAUACAUUGUUAACAAGUCAUAGGUAUGUUCUUUUAGGUUUCUAAUUACUGUCAGCCUCUCAUUUCAGACAGGUGAUGUGAUAAGGUGAAAUGAUUACUAUAUUUAGACUCAAAAGUCCUGAGUUUGAGUCCUCGUUUAACGAUCUAGUCCAUGAGCUUCAGUUUUCUCACCUGUUAAAUGGAAAUGAUGAUUAUUUCCUGGAAAUUGCAUUUCCAGGUUGUUUUGAAUGAUAAAUGAUAUGGUGUAUAUAUCAGCUGUUUGCAAACCAGAAAAAGCUAUUCUAUGGUAAACACAUGCAGUGGGCUGAAUUGUGUCUCCCAAAAUUCAUAUGUUGAAGUCCUCACCCCCAGGGCCUCAGAAUGUGACUGUAUUUGGAUCUAGGGUCUUCAAGAGAUAACUAAGUUAGAAUGAGGUCAUUUGGGUUGAUCCUAAUCCAACUGACUGAUAUCCUUAUAAGACGACGAAAUUUGGAUACAGAAAUACACAGAAGACAGGGAGAAGAUGGCCAUCUACAAGCUAAGGAGAGAGGCCUCAGAAGAAACACACCUGCCACACCUUGAAUUUGGACUUCUAGCCAUCAGAACUGUGGGAAAAUAAAUUUCUGUUGUUUAAGCCAGGAGUCCUCAACCCCCGGGCUGUGGACCUGUACCAGUCGGUGGCAUGUUAAGGACUGGGCUCCACAGCAGGAGGUGAGUGGUGGGCGAGUGAGCAUUACUGCCUGAGCUCCACCUCCCGUCAGAUCAGCAGUGGCAUUAGAUUCUCAUAGGAGCACAAACCCUAUUGUAAACUGAGCACGCAAGGGAUCUAGGUUGUGCGCUCCUUACGAGAAUCUAAUGCCUGAUAAUCUGAGAUUGAACAGUUUUAUCCCCAAACCAUCCCCUCCACCACCCCCGUGGUCUGUGGAAAAAUUGUCUUCCACAAAACUGGUCCCUGGUGCCGAAAAGGUUAGGGACCAGCGGCUCAAGCCACCCAGCCUGUGGUACUUUGUUACGGUAGCCCUGGCAAAUGAAUACAACACGUUUUAGACUAUGAUGUUACACAUGCAGUGUGUUGAGAGCCAAAGAACCCAAAUGAUUCGUGGUAUCUGCCCUUGAAGAGUUUUUAAUCUUUUUGGGCAUGAUGAAACAUACACAUGGAAAAUAAAAUAGCAUAUAACCAAGUGCCCAAAUCAGUAAUAAAUACAGUUGACUCCAUAAACAUUUAGGAACCUUCUAUCCCAUGUUUCCACAUUCUAUCCCAGUGGCUUUUGCCACUAAAUUUCUUCACCCACUAUUAGACUGAUGUUUUCAUCUUUCAGUAUCAGACUCAAGCUUUAAUCUAGAAAGAGGGGGUGGGGGGAUAAAUGCUAUACUUUGGAACCAGUCCGGAUAUUUUAAGUAUGUUUUUAAAAAGUAUAAUCCUCACAACAUGAAAGUUAUUAGUUCUAUUUUUCAGGUGAGAAGAGUUAAGGUCAAACAGACGAAAGCUAGUUAGUGGAGGGACUGGUAUUCCAAGCCCAUUCUGGUUAAACUAAAUCUUGUGUUCUUUCCACUAGAAAACUGCUUUUUGUCUUAAUUAUAAUUUUGUGACAAGGAUGUAUAGUCCAUUAAGGAAUAUAUACAACAGAAGAAGCAUUUAAGUGGACUUGAGGUUUGUGAAUCUGAACUAGUUUCUAUCGACUUUCACAUCAGCAGCUCCUAUUCUGGGGAAAGAGAAUGGAGGCUGGGAGUGAUCCUGACAAACCUUGAUGUGCAGGCUUGUGGAGAAACUGGAUUCACACCCAGGCUCGUGGAGUGUGGGAGAGGCUGGCCUGUCACAAUAUCAGGACAGCCUCUCUUAAUAACACUGCAGAAGGAAUCGAGGGCCCUGUGGUUUGCGGUCAGUGUGCCUCUUGUGCCAACUUUGGCACUACAAUGUCUUCAAUCACAUUAUCUUCCAAACCGGCUCUUCAUCCUAUGUCCUUAUUUCUGCUAAUGGUAUUCAUUUCUCUUAUUCAUGGACUCUGGGAAUCUUGGUGGUAUUAAAACCUGUCUCUUCUUUCCCCCUCGAUCUUCCACAUUCCAUUUCCUUUCAGCAGAAUCCCAAGCCUUCACCAUUUUUCAUUUUUGGUGCUGUUUCAGAGUUGCUGUGAACUUUACCUGGGUCCUCUAUCACCUUACCCAGCCAUUUGUCAUUCUGCCUGGUAAAGGGUUGAGCAGAUUUAUCUAUAUGAAUGAUCUUAUUUAAGCUAUUCUGUACACCUUCUGCUACUUAAACAGGCUCUAUGCUUCCACAUCUGCUCUCUAUCUGCCUAUGUGACUCAAACUUCAAUUGUCCAUCUCAGACAUCACAUCCUCCAUGAAGCCCUCUUGGGUUAUUUGAAGUAAUCUCUCUUCUGGGCUCUCAUAGCAUUACUGCUUGUAACUCUUUCAAAAGAUGAAUUUUGUGCUGUUGUUUACUUAAUGAGUACAAAUUUAGUGAUAAAUUUGAAAAACUUGUGUCCAUGUUUGAUAAAUAUGAAAAUCUCAUCAUUUUCAAUAUUUCUUAGAAUUUCAAAAUGUACUAAAUAUUAUUAAAAACCAAUCAUGGCAAUUUUAACAUUGAGUAUUCUUUUUUGAAAUAUGAAUGCUCCUCUCUCAAGACUGGUAUACUUUCUCACUCUACUCCCUUUUCAAGUGCCCUUAUCGAACUUUGCUGAUGAAAUCAUCUUUUCUUAGUUUGUUAGACUUUGGAUGGUGGAGACCUGUGCCUGCUACUUCUCUCAUCUCCUGAUACCUAAUGCAUAGUGUUCAGUAAGUAUUUAUUUGGUGAUAACAAUAUCAAAAACUAGAUAAUGCUUAGAAGAUCCAACACCUUCCAAAAUCUCUGUUAACCAGGUACUGAAAUAUGGUCAACCAGAUGAGCUGAAAUGUCAAGAACUUAUAGACACACAUGGUUUCAUGGUUGUGAAACUAGAAGAUGUGGCAUAUUUUACACAAUGGAGGGAAGAGCAAAGGUUAUGCAUGUGCGGAGGCAGAGCCCCUAGGCAGGUUUCCCUCUUUUCCUUCCUGUGCACUGAUUUUUAUUUUGGUGAACUGAAACAGGGGUCUAACAAACUGGUAUCUCAUUUGUCUUUAUAAACAGAACUGCCAGAUUGGCUUUGCAAUUCAGGGCCCUGUAGGGUGCCCACCUCCUCAGUUUGGGCAGCAGCAUUACAUCUGAGUCUUAGAAUAAAAAUGGAAAGCAAUGGCUCAACCCAUUGGUUUGUCACCAUCCACAUGAAGGAUCUCUAUUGGUAAAAAAACAGACUCCCGUGUUCAAGGCCCUGGGGCUGGAAUCAAAUCCAUCAUUCAUUUAUUUCGGUUUUUUAAGGCUAAAUACAUAGGGAAGAAAAUGAAAUGUGAGAAAGCUGUGCAUUUUCAAUGUCAUCUUGAAAGUGAGUAUCUUUAGACACAUAAAGUAGAUGAGUGGUUAACUUGGGCUGGGAGAGGGAGUGAGGAGUGGUUGUACAUGGCACAAGGUUUCUAUUUAGUGUGAUUGAAAUGUUCUAUAAUUUGAUUGAUGAUUGUACAGUUCUGUAAAUAAACUAAAAUGUAUUGAAUUGUAUAAUUAAAACAUGCAGAUUUUAUAUUUAAAAUAUACUUUGAUAAAAGUGUUUUAAAAAUGAAUAUCUCAUAGGGUAGAAUGAAAUGAAUAAGAGAAACAGUGAGGCAUCCAGGGGACUUUCUGCACAGUGGGUCUGUCAUUAGGCAGGUACGUUGCCACAGCCAGUUCUAAUGCCCACUCAUAGGCCAAUGCCUAGGACAAUUGCUCAGAUAUCGCCUCUGACAGGCAAGUGUUCCAUCAGUAACAGCAGGCAUCGGAAGAUGAUGCCAUUCCCUGCUGUUAGUAUGAUUAUAUUGACUUAGGUUUUUAAUUUUCUUUCUUGCUGUGUUUUUUUUUUUUCACCUUCUUAGCCUCUAAAGCAUGAACAUCUGUGUUUUUCAG
rnacentral:lncRNA from 10 species